AGCGGCCGCGGUAAUUCCAGCUCCAAUAGCGUAUAUUAAAGUUGUUGCAGUUAAAAAGCUCGUAGUUGAAUUUCGGGAUCAGUACGCUGGUCGUGCCUUAGGUAUGCACUGGUGUCACUGGUUCCUCCCUUCUGAAGAACUGUCAUGCCAUUAAUUUGGUGUGGCGGGAAUCAGGACUGUUACUUUGAAAAAUUGAGUGUUUAAAGCAGGCUCGCGCUUGAAUACAUUAGCAUGGAAUAAUGAAAUAGGACGUUUGAUCCUAUUUUGUGGUUUCUAGGAUCGACGUAAUGAUUAAGUAGGGAUAGGUUGGGGCUAUUAGUAUUCAAUU
rnacentral:rRNA from 1 species